UGCAGUCGAGCGGCAGCGGGAAGUAGCUUGCUACUUUUGCCGGCGAGCGGCGGACGGGUGAGUAAUGCCUGGGAAAUUGCCCAGUCGAGGGGGAUAACAGUUGGAAACGACUGCUAAUACCGCAUACGCCCUACGGGGGAAAGCAGGGGACCUUCGGGCCUUGCGCGAUUGGAUAUGCCCAGGUGGGAUUAGCUGGUUGGUGAGGUAAUGGCUCACCAAGGCGACGAUCCCUAGCUGGUCUGAGAGGAUGAUCAGCCACACUGGAACUGAGACACGGUCCAGACUCCUACGGGAGGCAGCAGUGGGGAAUAUUGCACAAUGGGGGAAACCCUGAUGCAGCCAUGCCGCGUGUGUGAAGAAGGCCUUCGGGUUGUAAAGCACUUUCAGCGAGGAGGAAAGGUUGUUGGCUAAUAUCCGACAGCUGUGACGUUACUCGCAGAAGAAGCACCGGCUAACUCCGUGCCAGCAGCCGCGGGUAAUACGGAGGGUG
rnacentral:rRNA from 1 species